rnacentral:rRNA from 1 species
AUUGAACGCUGGCGGCAUGCUUUACACAUGCAAGUCGAACGGUAACAGGGAGCUUGCUCCGCUGACGAGUGGCGAACGGGUGAGUAAUGCGUCGGAACGUGCCGAGUAGUGGGGGAUAACGCAUCGAAAGGUGUGCUAAUACCGCAUACGUACUGAGGUAGAAAGUGGGGGACCUUCGGGCCUCACGCUAUUCGAGCGGCCGACGUCUGAUUAGCUAGUUGGUGGGGUAAAGGCCCACCAAGGCGACGAUCAGUAGCGGGUCUGAGAGGAUGAUCCGCCACACUGGGACUGAGACACGGCCCAGAGUCCUACGGGAGGCAGCAGUGGGGAAUUUUGGACAAUGGGCGCAAGCCUGAUCCAGCCAUGCCGCGUGUCUGAAGAAGGCCUUCGGGUUGUAAAGGACUUUUGUCCGGGAGCAAAUGCCUGGUGUUAAUAGCACUGGGAGCUGAGAGUACCGGAAGAAUAAGCACCGGCUAACUACGUGCCAGCCGCCGCAGUAAAAC